rnacentral:lncRNA from 1 species
CCACGUACAAUCCGAACAUAACCAAUUGAAAUCGUUGCAUGCAUGGUAAUGUCAUCACUACAAUCACAUCCCAAAAGUUAGGCAGCGCCAUGAAAAUAGUCAAUCCUCUGCUUCAAAUGAAAGUGCAGAUUCAUGGGGGAGGAGGAUCUUCAUCUUCCCAUCUCAAUCCAAUUACUUGGCUGGCUGGUCUUCAUCACCCGCCUGAGACCUUUGCCUAACCCAAUUUCUAUAUUCUCCAUCAGCUGGCUUAUGGACCAACCACUCCAUGCCACGUGCCUGUUUCUCUUCAUCACCUCAUGUUGGAACAAAGGAAACAGGACCCACAUAGGCCGGCGUCAACCCUAGACCUUUCUUUUUGAAAUUUGGUGCAAGAGAACCCUUAUAAGUUAUACCGUAUUACCUUAUAACAUGGUUUGGCCUGUGAUCAGGUGUGGCAGCACUGCUCGUUCAUUCUAUCUUCACACAUACGUGGACGUCGCCUAUUGGUUCUUUUUUUAGGGUACCGAGAUGAUUAAAAAUUCCUAAGACAACCUAACAUCACAGGUGUCCAGUCCUAACUGGAAUGAUGGAAUCCUUUCCUGAUAAAGAAAGAUCAGUCUCCUUGUAAUUGUAGCCAAAUUGUG